UUCGGCUGCGGGGUUUAUGGCUGGUUUGGGGGUGGUCUCGGAGACCGCACAACCCCGUGCGCGCGGAACCCGCAAACACCGCACCAACAGCAGCCGAGGCGCGCGGCAUCUGCCUCCGGCCCCGGCCGCAGGGCGGGUCCGUCAUCCCGCAGCCCCCAGCGCCACGCCAGGACCGUCCCCAGGCAGUGGCUUUACUUUUCCGCUGCUAGCCCGCAGAAGCUGCGGCAAGCGCAGCCACCAAGCCCGGCGGCUGCUCGCUCGGCUGCGCCCCGCUGGCUGGGACUGAAACAGCCGCACCACCCGGUGGGCUCCAGUGUGCAUGCGCACUGCUUUGGGUCUGGGGUCUGCGGAAGGAUUUGCGCCUAGCGGCGAUGUUGCCGCGCUGCGGUCGCUGGGAACCCGGCAAGGACGCACGGCGGUCCACGCGCGGAUGACGGACCACGGCUCGCGACACACCUGCAGGGGUCGCGGCCAGCUGGCUGCCCGCACGGGUGCCCACCUCGAGCCGCAGCGGGCAGAGCGCCGCGGGCCAGAUGCGACCGGCGGGGUCCAGCGCCCUGCCUCAGCACCAGGCACGGCGGCGCCCACACGCCAAGCCCUCGAAUGCGCCAACCCCGCGGCGGGAAAGCGGACACAGCCGACCCCGGUACCGCGGGCGGCCGAUCACCUCCGCUCGGCGGGUCCACACCCUCCCCAGAGCCAACGCCGAACUUUGGUUCAAACUUUGGCCACCUGCUCCUACGUGCAGGGGCUGCACCAUCAGACCACCACGCACUCAAGGGGCCCCAACACCAGACUCACUGCCCUCUGACCCCGGCGCCGGGUCACCAUUGGGUUGGGGUCACGCCAAUCAAGGCUGCCUGGCAAAUGAGCAGGGGCGUGGGACCGGAAACCGGAUAUGGGUGGGAGGUCCGAUAGGGGGCGCCGCGUUGGAACGUCCAAAGAGGUCGUGCUCCGGGAUGCCAUCGGUAGGCGCGUGCAUCGCGGCCGGGCCUGGCAGGCCCCAGCACCGCUCUCGCGGUGGGGUCACUCAUGAUGACUCCCCAGGUUGCGUAGGCGGAGAGAGGAGGCCAAGGGCUCCCAGGCGCCAACCCCUGGGCCAACCUGUGCAACAGAGGGGGCCGCCGCUGGCCGAGGCGAGGAGCGUGGCUUCCAGGCAGGGCCAGUCAACCCUCUCCUCGGGUGCAGAGGAUCACCCAGGAUGGAGAAAGAGCUAAGGCCCCGGGAUGCUGAGUCCACACAGCUGGAAGGAAGCAGCCGGCUACCAGAAUGUGAAGACCCCAAGCCACUCAGGUGAGCAGGCCAAGAGUGGAAACCUCCUCCGUGCAGCAGCGGUGUGGCCAGAUGUUGGAGGAGCCGACUCACUCCAGAGGUAGCCAGAUGGCCUGGCCACAGGGACCUGAGGGACCUGCAGGGCAUAAGAACCCUAGUGUGAAGGGGCCUGCACUGUGACGCAGUGGGUUAACGCCCUGGCCUGCAGCGCUGGCAUCCCUUAUGGGCGCAGGUUCGAGACCCGGCUGCUCCACUUCCGAUCCAGCUCCCUGCUAUGGCCUGGGAAAGCAGUGGAAGAUGGCCCAAGUCCUUGGACCCUUGCACCCACGUGGGAGACCGGGAAGAAGCUCCUGGCUCCUGGCUUCAGAUUGGCCCAGCUCCAGCUGUUGCGGCCAUCUGGGGAGUGAACCAGCGGAUGGAAGACCUCUCUCUCUCUCUCUCUCUCUCUCUCUGCCUGCCUCUCCUUCUCUUUCUGUGUAACUCUUGACUUUCAAAUAAAUAAAUAAAUCUUAAAAAAAAGAACCCUAGUGUGGGCCAGGUGACCCCGAGUUUCCUCUGAUGCUAAUGAUUCCUAGCAGGGCCCGUGAUGGACAGACAGGCCACGUGAGGAGACACCACGGAAUUCAGGGAAACUGCAAGAAAGGCCUCAGAACCAGGGCCUUCCUCCCCCUCCUCCCCCUCCUCCUCCUCUGCUGUUCCGGUAAAAAUCACCAGAAGCUGGGCGCUGUCCCCGUUGUCGUCAGUCCCUUCAUCAGGCAGCUGUCUGCCCCUCCUCAGCUCCUCACCCAGGACGAGGAAGGAAGGGCAGGAGGAGGCGUUGCCUUCCUCCCCACGCAGGCGUGGGGGUGAGAUCUCCCCUCAGCCAGCACCCUUGGGCGGUACCCUGUGCAGGGCGCCCAGGCGCCCGCAGGAAGUCCAGAUGGUGCCCCCUGGCACAGGUGGCGCAGGACCCCUGGUGCAGGAGCGGCACCCUCACGCUUCCCUCUACCUCCCAGCAGGACGGGAGAAUGCAGUUAACUCCACACUGGGCUCUGGGCCCUCCGUACUCCAGGAGUGAGGUGGGGUGGGGAGCUCGAGGUGAGCCCUGGAAAAUACGCAGAAAUCCGAGAGGCUGUCGUCUGUCCCACCCGGAAGCCUUCGUCUUCCUCUAAAUGUUUUUGACAGUGCUCGGUCCGUUAGAGACGCAGAGCAAAGCACCACCCCUCCUGCCCUAGGACCGUCUCACCGGCAGUGGACAGGGGGCUCGGAUGGGCCCCUCUCCAUCCUCAGAGCCAGGCACCCUCGAAAUCCUGAGCUCGCCUGUCUGCUGUUUGUGGGGUGACGGCUCCCCCAGGGCCUCGCCGCAGCGGGUGCGCAGCCUUCAUGUGACGACCGCUGUUUUCGACUGUGUUUCGGCUCUGCUGGGUCAGUGCCUCCCUCGUGUGCA